AUGGAUCAGCCCCCUCUUCUUGGGAGCGGCCCCAGAGCCGCAGCCAUUACCCACAAUGGAUCAGCUCCCUCCUUCGUCGCAAUGGAUCAGUACGCAGCCUCUACAUCAACUUCACCACCGGAAAAGGCGCCGACGGCAGCAGCGUUCCGGGCCCCGGAACUCUGUGGAGAGUCCAGCUACAACAGGAGAUCAUCUGACACGAUCAAGGCCAAGAUCAUGUCCCACCCUCUCUAUCCGGCUCUCCUCGGAGCCUUUAUAGACUGCCGGAAAGUCGGAGCGCCGCCGGAAGUUGUUGGUCGGCUCUCCUCCCUCUUCGACGAGCUCCGGCCAAAUUCAGCCGACAUGCAGGAACAGCCGGCGGACCCAGAGCUCGACCAGUUCAUGGAGACCUACCAUGAUAUGCUGGUGAUGUACAGUCAGGAGCUCACGAGGCAAAUCCAAGUAGCCAAUGAGCUCAUGAGGAGCGCUGAGGCCCAUAUCGACUCAUUUGCACCAGCAACUGGCGGCAACAACUACAACGAGUGCGAGGGUUCUUCCGAAGAUGGGCAGGAGACCGGCGACGUCGCCGGCCUGCCUUCCGGCGAGGGCAAGCAGCUGACGAGCCAGCUCCUGGACAAGUACAGCGGCUACCUGAGAAGCCUCUGGAGGGAGCUCUCCGGGAAGAAGAAGAAGAGCGGCAGGCUGCCGAGGGAGGCGCGCCAGAGGCUCCUGCACUGGUGGCAUCUGCACCACGGAUGGCCCUACCCAUCGGAACCGGAGAAGCUGGCGUUGGCGGAGUCGACGGGGCUCGACACGAGGCAGAUCAACAACUGGUUCAUCAACCAGAGGAAGCGGCACUGGAGGCCGGCGCCGCCGGCGAUGGGUAGCAGGUUGCAGCACAUCGACGCCGGUGCUUCCAGCAGCAGCUCUCCUGCCGUCCUUGGGAUGGAAGGCCAGCAAUUCACCGGACGGAGUGGGUAUCCCGACGGUGGUCCGUUUUGA
rnacentral:rRNA from 1 species